ACGGAGGGUGCAAGCGUUAUUCGGAAUUACUGGGCGUAAAGCGCACGCAGGCGGUUUGUUAAGUCAGAUGUGAAAGCCCCCGGCUCAACCGUGGAACUGCCACUGAUACUGGCAGGCUUGAGUCUCGUAGAGGGAGCUAGAAUGCCACGUGUAGCGGUGAAAUGCGUAGAGAUCUCGCAGAACACCAGCGGCGAAGGCGGGUUACUGGCCGAUUACUGACGCUGAGGCGCGAAAGCGUGGGGAUCAAACAG
rnacentral:rRNA from 1 species